GAUCCUGGCUCAGAUUGAACGCUGGCGGCAGGCCUAACACAUGCAAGUCGAACGGUAACAGGAAACAGCUUGCUGUUUCGCUGACGAGUGGCGGACGGGUGAGUAAUGUCUGGGAAACUGCCUGAUGGAGGGGGAUAACUACUGGAAACGGUAGCUAAUACCGCAUAAUGUCGCAAGACCAAAGAGGGGGGACCUUCGGGCCUCUUGUCCAUCGGAUGUGCCCAGAUGGGAUUAGCUAGUAGGG
rnacentral:rRNA from 1 species